rnacentral:rRNA from 1 species
GGACGCUGGCGGCGUGCUUAACACAUGCAAGUCGAACGGAAAGGCCCUGCUUUUGUGGGGUGCUCGAGUGGCGAACGGGUGAGUAACACGUGAGUAACCUGCCCUUGACUUUGGGAUAACUUCAGGAAACUGGGGCUAAUACCGGAUAGGAGCUCCUGCUGCAUGGUGGGGGUUGGAAAGUUUCGGCGGUUGGGGAUGGACUCGCGGCUUAUCAGCUUGUUGGUGGGGUAGUGGCUUACCAAGGCUUUGACGGGUAGCCGGCCUGAGAGGGUGACCGGCCACAUUGGGACUGAGAUACGGCCCAGACUCCUACGGGAGGCAGCAGUGGGGAAUAUUGCACAAUGGGCGGAAGCCUGAUGCAGCAACGCCGCGUGCGGGAUGACGGCCUUCGGGUUGUAAACCGCUUUCGCCUGUGACGAAGCGUGAGUGACGGUAAUGGGUAAAGAAGCACCGGCUAACUACGUGCCAGCAGCCGCGGUGAUACGUAGGGUGCGAGCGUUGUCCGGAUUUAUUGGGCGUAAAGGGCUCGUAGGUGGUUGAUCGCGUCGGAAGUGUAAUCUUGGGGCUUAACCCUGAGCGUGCUUUCGAUACGGGUUGACUUGAGGAAGGUAGGGGAGAAUGGAAUUCCUGGUGGAGCGGUGGAAUGCGCAGAUAUCAGGAGGAACACCAGUGGCGAAGGCGGUUCUCUGGGCCUUUCCUGACGCUGAGGAGCGAAAGCGUGGGGAGCGAACAGGCUUAGAUACCCUGGUAGUCCACGCUGUAAACGGUGGGUACUAGGUGUGGGGUCCAUUCCACGGGUUCCGUGCCGUAGCUAACGCUUUAAGUACCCCGCCUGGGGAGUACGGCCGCAAGGCUAAAACUCAAAGGAAUUGACGGGGCCCCGCACAAGCGGCGGAGCAUGCGGAUUAAUUCGAUGCAACGCGUAGAACCUUACCUGGGUUUGACAUGGAUCGGGAGUGCUCAGAGAUGGGUGUGCCUCUUUUGGGGUCGGUUCACAGGUGGUGCAUGGCUGUCGUCAGCUCGUGUCGUGAGAUGUUGGGUUAAGUCCCGCAGCGAGCGCAACCCUUGUUCACUGUUGCCAGCACGUUAUGGUGGGGACUCAGUGGAGACCGCCGGGGUCAACUCGGAGGAAGGUGGGGAUGACGUCAAGUCAUCAUGCCCCUUAUGUCCAGGGCUUCACGCAUGCUACAAUGGCUGGUACAGAGAGUGGCGAGCCUGUGAGGGUGAGCGAAUCUCGGAAAGCCGGUCUCAGUUCGGAUUGGGGUCUGCAACUCGACCUCAUGAAGUCGGAGUCGCUAGUAAUCGCAGAUCAGCAACGCUGCGGUGAAUACGUUCCCGGGGCUUGUACCCACCGCCCGUCAAGUCAUGAAAGUUGGUAACACCCGAAGCCGGUGGCCUAACCGUUGUGGGGGAGCCGUCGAAGGUGGGACUGGUGAUUAGGA